CAGAAUUCACCACCGGGUGAUGCAGCGUUUAUCGUACUCCAUAGGUCUUAGCGGAGUGCGGUAGGCGCUGUUUUAUUUU
rnacentral:ncRNA from 1 species